rnacentral:rRNA from 1 species
GAUGAACGCUGGCGGCGUGCCUAAUACAUGCAAGUCGAGCGAACGGACGAGAAGCUUGCUUCUCUGAUGUUAGCGGCGGACGGGUGAGUAACACGUGGAUAACCUACCUAUAAGACUGGGAUAACUUCGGGAAACCGGAGCUAAUACCGGAUAAUAUUUUGAACCGCAUGGUUCAAAAGUGAAAGACGGUCUUGCUGUCACUUAUAGAUGGAUCCGCGCUGCAUUAGCUAGUUGGUAAGGUAACGGCUUACCAAGGCAACGAUGCAUAGCCGACCUGAGAGGGUGAUCGGCCACACUGGAACUGAGACACGGUCCAGACUCCUACGGGAGGCAGCAGUAGGGAAUCUUCCGCAAAGGGCGAAAGCCUGACGGAGCAACGCGGCGUGAGUGAUGAAGGUCUUCGGAUCGUAAAACUCUGUUAUUAGGGAAGAACAUAUGUGUAAGUAACUGUGCACAUCUUGACGGUACCUAAUCAGAAAGCCACGGCUAACUACGUG